rnacentral:lncRNA from 1 species
UACUAAAACCCUUUGUCGCAGAGAAGAGGAGAUAAACGCACUGAGUUAAAAUGCGUUCCGUUGUGUUAUGUUUUCGUGGCUUGCUUCGACCGUUGUGGAGGCGUUGCGGGAAAGCUUAUAUUGAUAGUUGUCACACUGAGGCGCGGCCAAGACGUUCGCUCUGUCUGGACUAUGUCGUCACGGAGUCGAGGGGGGACACGCUAACAGGUCAUAACAGGAGGAGCAGUAACGGAUGCACCUAUUGAGCGAACCGUAAAAAGCAGAUGAUUUGUGCACGAGUUAUUGGGAAGGAACGAUGACGGAAAACAUCAUCAUAGAAAUACACUACAAAUACGUAGAACACAGGGAAAGCUAGGUGGCUACACGGCUGGCAGCGAUAUCAGCUGAUAUGUUCAACAUAUGUUCCUCCCCGCCGUUAAGGUCGGACAAUGAUAAUGCAUAGUAGAUGAAAUAAUUCGCAGACGACUAUAUACACGAUCACUUACAAUGUGAGAUAUCUAAAUUCAUCAAGACCAAAAAAAAUGCCAUAGCCGACAACACGUUAUGAUCGAUAAAGGACAUAACGGUUUAAGCGGAGUCAUCGGAAACGCGA